AAAAAAAAAAAAAAAGAAUCCCUGGGAAGGGACAGAUCAUGUUAGCUGGACCCAAGGACACUGUGACUUUCUCCCUGAGGACUCUCCCUGAGAGGCAGCAGCAGGUAACUUUUGUCUGAGCUCCUCCGACUGCAGACCCCAUGCUCCGAAGUGUUGUUUGCAGUUCUAGGUACACUCUGUAGCCCAGUGCAGAGGAAGGGCAUCAACGUGUGCCCGUCUAACUUAUGUGAACUCACACAUGCAUAUGGGGAAAAUGCAAAAGAGAGGUGGCCAGCGCGCAGCACCCAAGCCUGAGCAGCGAGGUGGCAGCGGGACUGGCCCUUCCUUCCUUGGGCCUCAAUUUCCAUGGCCCUCUUAGAGCAAGCUCCGCCCCCAACACCAAUUCCAGGCUCUAACCCGCCUCCUCUGGGGCUCCUCAAGGAGAUGGGACCUGCCCCUCUUGGAGGAGAAGCUGGUGGACCAGACUUGCGGGACAUUCACAAUGCCUCAGUGCUUAACGGGACACCUACUUGGGGAAUAUUCCCAGGAGAGCAAAGGGAGAAAGCUCUAGGCUAAAGGCCAGAAGACCUAGCCCUGCCAAUAAAAUCAACCUCAUUUUGUGAAUGCCUGUUGUGUGCCAAGGACCCUGCUAAGUGCUUUGCUUGAAGAAAAAAUGCUGGGCAUCUUGGUGCAGCACAAAGUCCGGAGUGGCGUCUCGGGCAUCGUGGGCAUGGAGGUGGAUGGGCUGCCCUUCCACAACACCCACGCCGAGAUGAUCCAGAAGCUGGUGGACGUCACCACGGCACAGGUGUAACCGUCCAUGUUCCGUGUGAGCAGAGUCCCUACCAACGGGCAGGUCUGCAUCCGGGGAGAAUGCAGCUGCUUCUGGCGACAAUCCUGCUAGUAAACACUGGUCUUCGGUGAGCAACGAACACUCGCCUGGCCUGGGAAACUGCAUGCCCACUUUCUGGGAGGGGUUAGUGCAGGUGCUGUGGACAAAGGACAACAUUUCUCUGGGGCUUUUUAACUUUUAUUCCUAAGACUCUAAAGGCGUUGAUUUCAACCCUCCUUCACUCUGGCUUCUUCAGGCAACCCACGUGGUCUCCUGUGAGAAUCUUCUCGACAGUUACUUAUGGGGACACUUGUGAACAAUUAACUGCCAGGCAGAGCAUGAGAACAAACAUUCCCAGGCCAUGUAGGAUAGGAUACUCCAGACUCCAGUCAUCCUCCCCCAUCCAUGGUUUCUGUUACUCAUGGUUUCAGUUACUCAUAGCCAACUGCAGACCGAAAAUACUAAAUGAAAAAUUUCAGAAAUAAACAACUCUUAAGUUUUAAA
rnacentral:lncRNA from 10 species